rnacentral:rRNA from 1 species
GACGAACGCUGGCGGCGUGCUUAACACAUGCAAGUCGAACGGAAAGGCCCUGCUUUUGUGGGGUGCUCGAGUGGCGAACGGGUGAGUAACACGUGAGUAACCUGCCCUUGACUUUGGGAUAACUUCAGGAAACUGGGGCUAAUACCGGAUAGGAGCUCCUGCUGCAUGGUGGGGGUUGGAAAGUUUCGGCGGUUGGGGAUGGACUCGCGGCUUAUCAGCUUGUUGGUGGGGUAGUGGCUUACCAAGGCUUUGACGGGUAGCCGGCCUGAGAGGGUGACCGGCCACAUUGGGACUGAGAUACGGCCCAGACUCCUACGGGAGGCAGCAGUGGGGAAUAUUGCACAAUGGGCGGAAGCCUGAUGCAGCAACGCCGCGUGCGGGAUGACGGCCUUCGGGUUGUAAACCGCUUUCGCCUGUGACGAAGCGUGAGUGACGGUAAUGGGUAAAGAAGCACCGGCUAACUACGUGCCAGCAGCCGCGGUGAUACGUAGGGUGCGAGCGUUGUCCGGAUUUAUUGGGCGUAAAGGGCUCGUAGGUGGUUGAUCGCGUCGGAAGUGUAAUCUUGGGGCUUAACCCUGAGCGUGCUUUCGAUACGGGUUGACUUGAGGAAGGUAGGGAAGAAUGGAAUUCCUGGUGGAGCGGUGGAAUGCGCAGAUAUCAGGAGGAACACCAGUGGCGAAGGCGGUUCUCUGGGCCUUUCCUGACGCUGAGGAGCGAAAGCGUGGGGAGCGAACAGGCUUAGAUACCCUGGUAGUCCACGCUGUAAACGGUGGGUACUAGGUGUGGGGUCCAUUCCACGGGUUCCGUGCCGUAGCUAACGCUUUAAGUACCCCGCCUGGGGAGUACGGCCGCAAGGCUAAAACUCAAAGGAAUUGACGGGGCCCCGCACAAGCGGCGGAGCAUGCGGAUUAAUUCGAUGCAACGCGUAGAACCUUACCUGGGUUUGACAUGGAUCGGGAGCGCUCAGAGAUGGGUGUGCCUCUUUUGGGGUCGGUUCACAGGUGGUGCAUGGCUGUCGUCAGCUCGUGUCGUGAGAUGUUGGGUUAAGUCCCGCAACGAGCGCAACCCUUGUUCACUGUUGCCAGCACGUUAUGGUGGGGACUCAGUGGAGACCGCCGGGGUCAACUCGGAGGAAGGUGGGGAUGACGUCAAGUCAUCAUGCCCCUUAUGUCCAGGGCUUCACGCAUGCUACAAUGGCUGGUACAGAGAGUGGCGAGCCUGUGAGGGUGAGCGAAUCUCGGAAAGCCGGUCUCAGUUCGGAUUGGGGUCUGCAACUCGACCUCAUGAAGUCGGAGUCGCUAGUAAUCGCAGAUCAGCAACGCUGCGGUGAAUACGUUCCCGGG